GACGAACGCUGGCGGCGUGCUUAACACAUGCAAGUCGAAUGAUGAACCCGGAGCUUGCUCCGGCGGAUUAGUGGCGAACGGGUGAGUAACACGUGAGUAACCUGCCCUUGACUCUGGGAUAACUGCGGGAAACUGUAGCUAAUACCGGAUACGACCCUCGGCGGCAUCGCCAGGGGGUGGAAAGAAUUUCGGUCAAGGAUGGACUCGCGGCCUAUCAGCUAGUUGGUGAGGUAACGGCUCACCAAGGCGACGACGGGUAGCCGGCCUGAGAGGGUGACCGGCCACACUGGGACUGAGACACGGCCCAGACUCCUACGGGAGGCAGCAGUGGGGAAUAUUGCACAAUGGGCGCAAGCCUGAUGCAGCAACGCCGCGUGAGGGAUGACGGCCUUCGGGUUGUAAACCUCUUUUAGUAGGGAAGAAGCGAAAGUGACGGUACCUGCAGAAAAAGCACUGGCUAACUACGUGCCAGCAGCCGCAGUAA
rnacentral:rRNA from 1 species